CUCUCUCUGCGUUAUCCUGAAACCAUUCUUUCUCUCUGGCCUCUCAUUCUUUCUCAUCAAUGUCAAAUUUAUUUAUAUAGCCCUUCGUACAUCAGCUGAUAUCUCAAAGUGCUGUACAGAAACCCAGCCUAAAACCCCAAACAGCAAGCAAUACAGGUGUAGUAGAAGCACGGUGGCUAGGAAAAACUCCAAAACCUAGAGAGGAACCAGGCUAUGAGGGGUGGCCAGUCCUCUUCUGGCUGUGCCAGGUGGAGAUUAUAACAGAACAUGGCCAAGAUGUUCAAAUGUUCAGCAUGGUCAAAUAAUAACAAUCACAGUAGUUGUCGAGGGUGCAGCAAGUCAGCACCUCAGGAGUAAAUGUCAGUUGGCUUUUCAUAGCCGAUCAUUAAGAGUAUCUCUACCACUCCUGCUGUCUCUAGAGAGUUGAAAACAGCAGGUCUGGGACAGGUAGCACCACAUUCAGAGUAUCUCUACCACUCCUGCUGUCUCUAGAGAGUUGAAAACAGCAGGUCUGGGACAGGUAGCACCACAUUCAGAGUAUCUCUACCACUCCUGCUGUCUCUAGAGAGUUGAAAACAGCAGGUCUGGGACAGGUAGCACCACAUUCAGAGUAUCUCUACCACUCCUGCUGUCUCUAGAGAGUUGAAAACAGCAGGUCUGGGACAGGUAGCACCACAUUCAGAGUAUCUCUACCACUCCUGCCGUCUCUAGAGAGUUGAAAACAGCAGGUCUGGGACAGGUAGCACCACAUUCAGAGUAUCUCUACCACUCCUGCUGUCUCUAGACAGUUGAAAACAGCAGGUCUGGGACAGGUAGCACCACAUUCAGAGUAUCUCUACCACUCCUGCUGUCUCUAGACAGUUGAAAACAGCAGGUCUGGGACAGGUAGCACCACAUUCAGAGUAUCUCUACCGUUCCUGCCGUCUCUAGACAGUUGAAAACAGCAGGUCUGAAUCUGUCAACACUUUGUCUAACAUUUUAUUUCUG